rnacentral:rRNA from 1 species
AUCGAACGCUGGCGGCAGGCCUAAUACAUGCAAGUCGAGCGAGCGGCGGACGGGUGAGCAAUGUAUGGGGACUGCCUGAUAUAGGGGGAUAACUACUGGAAACGGUGGCUAAUACCGCAUACUAUCGGAUAACCCAUAUGGGAUUAGCUAGUAGGUGGGGUAAAGGCUCACCAAGGCGACGAUCUCUAGCUGGUCUGAGAGGAUGAGCAGCCACACUGGGACUGAGACACGGCCCAGACUCCUACGGAGGCAGCAGUGGGGAAUAUUGGACAAUGGGCGAAAGCCUGAUGCAGCCAUGCCGCGUGUAUGAAGAAGGCCUUAGGGUUGUAAAGUACUUUCAGCGGGGAGGCGUUACCCGCAGAGAAAGCACCGGCUAACUCCGUGCCAGCCGCCGCGGUAAUUC